AAAAAAUGGACGGUUUGCUGUAUGAAAAAUAAUGGAGUGAUAAAAAAGGAAGCACUGUUGGUUUUGAGAUUUAAAGAUAGAUAUAUCUUGAACUACUUCACAACUGGAAAGAGUUAAUUUUAUUUUGAAAAAUUGAGGUUCUAUUUUAUUAAACAUUUUGCGCUUUGUUUGGAAUUUUACUUAAUCUGUAAAUGCUGUGAGUUUCGGGCAUACAAAUCGUGUGCUAUUAAUCUGUAACAUAUAUGUUCUUGUUAGUCCAAAGAGAUCUAGGAAGCACAGUAGACCAGAAGCUGAGAGGCCACCUACCACAUCAUAUUUGUUCUUGUUAGUCCAAAGAGAUCUAGGAAGCACAGUAUACCAGAAGCUGAGAGGCCACCUACCACACACAAUUUAGAUGGUAGAAACAAUUCAGAACGAGAUCUAAAACAUCACCGCAGGCUGCAAGAUGCUGUGCCUCUUGAUGCUUCGUCAGCAC
rnacentral:lncRNA from 1 species